UCUGUUUUUAUGAUCCCCGACUUUUCGUAUUAGCUCUAAGUUCUUUCGGUCCGUUUUUAUGAUCCCCGAUUUUGCGUAUUAGCUCUAAAUUCUUUUGGCUUAUUUUUAUGAUCCCCGACUUUGCGUAUCAGCUCUUAGUUCUUUUGGUCAUUUUUAUGAUCCCCGACUUUGCGUAUUAGCUCUAAGUUCUAUCGGUCCGUUUUUAUGAUCCCCGACUUUGCGUAUAAGCUCUAAGUUCUUUUGGUCGUUUCAUGAUCCCCGACUUUGCGUAUUAGCUCUAAGUUCUUACGGUCCGUUUUUAUGAUCCCCGACUUUGCGUAUUAGCUCUAAGUUCUUUCGGUCGUUUUUAUGAUCCCUGAGAUUGUGUAUCAGCUCUAAGUUCUUUUGGUCAAUUUUUAUGAUCCCCGACUUUGCGUAUUAGCUCUAAGUUCUAUCAGUCAGUUUUUAUGAUCCCCGACUUUGCAUAUCAGCUCUAAGUUCUUUCGGUCGUUUUGUGAUCCCCGACGUUGCGUAUUAGCUCUUAGUUCUUUCGGUCAUUUUUAUGAUCCCCGACUUUGCGUAUUAGCUCUAAGUUCUUUCGGUCCGUUUUUAUGAUCCCCAACUUUGCGUAUUAACUCUAAGUUCUUUCGGUCCGUUUUUAUGAUCCCCGACUUUGCGUAUUAGCUCUAAUUUCUUUCGGUCGUUUUUAUGAUCCCCGACUUUGCGUAUUAGCUCUAAGUUCUUUCGGUCGUUUUUAUG
rnacentral:lncRNA from 1 species